GAUGAACGCUGGCGGCGUGCUUAACACAUGCAAGUCGAACGAAGCAUUUGCGACAGAUUUUUUCGGAAUGAAGUUGCUUAUGACUGAGUGGCGGACGGGUGAGUAACGCGUGGGUAACCUGCCUUGUACUGGGGGAUAGCAGCUGGAAACGGCUGGUAAUACCGCAUAAGCGCACAAUGUUGCAUGACAUGGUGUGAAAAACUCCGGUGGUAUAAGAUGGACCCGCGUCUGAUUAGCUAGUUGGUGAGAUAACAGCCCACCAAGGCGACGAUCAGUAGCCGACCUGAGAGGGUGACCGGCCACGUUGGGACUGGGACACGGCCCAGACUCCUACGGGAGGCAGCAGUGGGGAAUAUUGCACAAUGGAGGAAACUCUGAUGCAGCGACGCCGCGUGAGUGAAGAAGUAAUUCGUUAUGUAAAGCUCUAUCAGCAGGGAAGAUAGUGACGGUACCUGACUAAGAAGCUCCGGCUAAAUACGUG
rnacentral:rRNA from 1 species